UACGGAGGGUGCGAGCGUUGUCCGGAAUCACUGGGCGUAAAGGGCGCGUAGGCGGCCUGAUAAGUAGGGGGUGAAAUCCUGCGGCUUAACCGCAGGGCUGCCUUCUAAACUGUCAGGCUCGAGCACAGUAGAGGCAGGUGGAAUUCCCGGUGUAGCGGUGGAAUGCGUAGAGAUCGAGAGGAACACCUGCGGCGAAGGCGGGUUGCUGGGCUGACACUGACGCUGAUGCGCGAAAGCUAGGGGAGCGAACGGG
rnacentral:rRNA from 1 species